ACUAAGAUGUACAGUUAGUCAAUCUUCCACCUAAAUAUUCCAGUCUUCUACUAAGAUGUAUGAGUCUGGAAUAAAGUAACCUUCAAAGAUCAUCACCCCCAGCAUCUAUUUAUUCUGCCCUCAGUCUACUACUAAGAUGUGUCAGCCUGAGUAGCAAGAUGCUAAGAUGUAUAUGGAGAGACUGCAGACCAAACCCUGAAGGUAUAAAGAAAUACCUCUUAUCACCUAGAGCAGUCAAUACUGAUAAUUUAUUGUUGCUUAGUUAUAAGUUGUCUGUACCUGCAAUCAGCUGUCCUAAGAAGUAAUGGAUCAAAUCAGCUAUACCCCUGGAUACUACGAAGAAGAACAGGGCCAGAAUAUGUUCUGAUCAAGAUAGUCAGCUAGAAGAUUAUCACUGAUAAAAUAAGCAGAUACUUAUCAGCCUAUUCUCACUGAGUGCCAGAUAAACAAAUCUUCUAACUUAUUUAGGUAGGAAGUAAACCUUGAGAAAUCUGUGAUAUUAUAGGAUUGGGAAAAUAUUCUAAAAUAAAUGUUUCCACUAUAUAGAAGAGUACCUGGAGAAGAGAUCUGGUAACUAUCCCAGAGAAAUCUAAACCAGAUCUACGAGGAUAGAUCUAUAGAGAUACCAAGAAGCCACUUAGAGACCAUCAAAGUGAGUUAAAUUCCUUGAAAGUCUGGGCACAAUUUUCAGUUUCAAAUGAACAAAUUUAGAUUUAUAAAAGAUGUUCUACUUGGUUAAAAGUUUUACAAUAAUAUGCAAUUUUGAAUGGACACAUUAAGAUUUUAAAUAAUGUUUUAUUUGAUUAAAAAGUGCAGCCAUAAUUUUUUAUCUUAAAUUAACACAUUAAGAUGUAUAGAAAUUGUUUACUUGUGAAUCUAAUUAAUUGUAAAUAUUUUAGUUUUUCACUGGAUGAAGAUGAAUAAAUUAUAACCAACAAGUUGUUCAUCAAAUGUAGUGCAUAAAGGGUGGCAGUCUUCUGACAAGUGCAAAUAAUGUUUAUGCCAUCACAUUAGAGUAUCUCAAGAAUUUUAGAUAGCACAGCUAGAAAUAAUAAGGAGAGUUUAUAUAAAGGCUUAUCAUGUGUUAGAGGAGAUAGUCACACUUUCGUCUUUAAUUGUUCACAAAGAUCACACAAAACUUGAUUAUAUACCUU